UUGGUCCCCUUCAAUCAGUUGU
rnacentral:miRNA from 1 species